CACGUAGGGCGCAAGCGUUGUCCGGAAUUAUUGGGCGUAAAGAGCUCGUAGGCGGUCUGUUGCGUCCGCUGUGAAAACCCGGGGCUUAACCCUGGGCUGGCAGUGGAUACGGACAGACUAGAGGUAGGUAGGGGAGAAUGGAAUUCCCGGUGUAGCGGUGAAAUGCGCAGAUAUCAGGAGGAACACCGGUGGCGAAGGCGGAUCUCUGGGCCUUACCUGACGCUCAGGUGCGAAAGCUAGGGGAGCGAACAGG
rnacentral:rRNA from 1 species